GAGUUUGAUCAUGGCUCAGGACGAACGCUGGCGGCGUGCUUAACACAUGCAAGUCGAACGGUGAACCCCGCUUGCGGGGGGAUCAGUGGCGAACGGGUGAGUAACACGUGGGCAACCUGCCCCCGGCUCUGGGAUAACCCCAAGAAAUUGGGGCUAAUACCGGAUAUGACCGCUGGCCGCAUGGUCUGGUGGUGGAAAGAUUUAUCGGCUGGGGAUGGGCCCGCGGCCUAUCAGCUUGUUGGUGGGGUAGUGGCCUACCAAGGCGACGACGGGUAGCCGGCCUGAGAGGGUGACCGGCCACACUGGGACUGAGACACGGCCCAGACUCCUACGGGAGGCAGCAGUGGGGAAUAUUGCGCAAUGGGCGGAAGCCUGACGCGGCGACGCCGCGUGGGGGAUGAC
rnacentral:rRNA from 1 species